GAAGAGUUGCGUGAAGGUAGAGCACUGAAUAUGUGAUGGCCCCAUCUCGGGGUACUGAGCAUAAUCAAACUGCGAAUGUCACGCCAACAUGCUCGGCAGUCAGACAGCGGGUGAUAAGGUCCGUUGUCAAGAGGGAAACAGCCCAGACCAUCAGCUAAGGUCCCAAAAUGUAUGCUAAGUGGAAAAGGAUGUGGAGAUGUACAGACAACUAGGAGGUUGGCUCAGAAGCAGCCAUCCUUUAAAGAGUGCGUAACAGCUCACU
rnacentral:rRNA from 1 species